GAAGAGUUGAGUUGAGCUGAUGUAAUUACAUAGGGGACUUUGUUAGAAAAGCAUUAAUGUCUCGUUGUCUCAUGCACUCAUGUCUUAAGAGCCAGGUUUUUCGAGUUCUUUUGAUUAUUCUGUUCCCAUGCCCUUAACGUAGAGUCAAGAGUACCAGAUCCCACCUCCACCUCCCGUUAAUAAACGGCUCAACUGGUUACUAGAAUGUUAUCAACCAGUAGAACAAACAGCCGCCGUUAGCGCGUAGCAGAAGCGGCCGUUGCACGCCACUGCUAAACGCUUUUGACAGCGACGUGCCUCUCACUUUGUUCCUACGGUUCGAUUCCUACGUUGGUGCUCUCUCUCUCUCUAUCUAUCUCCCUCUCUCUCUCUCUCUCUCUCUAUCUCUCCCCCCUCUCUCUCUCUCCGUGUCUCUGUCUGCGGCACCGUACGGAAUUCGGUACUCUGAGGAAGAGGGGGCGCCAUUUCGAUCUCAGAAAGCGAUUCCCAUUUUGCUCUUUUCCUUGUCCACUCUCCCUCAGAGGCAAUCUAGGUGCAAAUUGCUUGCAUUUUAUAGAAUGCCAGGAGAAGAACUAUUAGUUCAAGAUGAUGAGAGGGGUAGAAGUAUGGAGCCUGAAACCUCUGAGGAUGAGUGGCGGAAGUCUCGAGCUAGAUCUCUUCGAAGAAGAGCAAUGACUGCUUCAACGAGACUUACAUAUAGUCUUAGGAAGCGUAAUCCACGUGUAUCCGAUUAUGAAUUUGCUUCAAUUUUCAUAGAAGAUGUACGUGAUGCUAGUGAGGAAGUAGCUGUGAAUUCAUUACGUCAGGCUCUACUUACAAGAGAUCUACUACCAGAUUCCCAUGAUGAUUAUCAUACAAUGCUGAGGUUUUUAAAAGCCAGAAAGUUUGACAUUGAUAGAACAGUCCAGAUGUGGGAUGAUAUGCUCCAUUGGAGGAAGGAGUAUGGAGUAGAUUCUAUUUUACAGGAUUUUGUAUACAAGGAGUAUGAUGAGGUUCAGCGUUAUUAUCCUCAUGGUUACCAUGGUGUGGACAAAGAGGGCCGACCAGUUUAUAUUGAAAGACUUGGCAAAGUUGAACCCAGCAAGCUGAUGAAUGUCACAACAGUAGAUCGACUUUUAAAGUAUCAUGUUCAGGGAUUUGAGAAAAUGUUUAAAGAGAAAUUCCCAGCAUGUUCUAUUGCAGCAAAGAGGCAUAUAGAUAAAACAACAACAAUACUUGAUGUGCAUGGCGUGAAUUGGAUGAGCUUUAGUAAACUUGCUCAUGAUCUCGUUAUGCGCAUGCAAAAAAUUGAUGGUGAUAACUACCCUGAGACAUUAAACCAGAUGUUCAUUGUUAAUGCUGGUAGUGGGUUCAAGCUACUGUGGAGUACUGCAAAAGGCUUUCUUGAUCCAAGGACCACAGCCAAAAUACAUGUUUUAGGCAACAAGUUUCAGAGCAGAUUGUUGGAGGUUAUAGACUUAAGCCAACUUCCAGAUUUCUUGGGUGGCAGUUGUUCAUGCCCAAAUGUUGGAGGGUGUCUUAGAGCAAACAAGGGACCUUGGAAUGAUCCUGACAUUUUGAAACUAUUACAUUCUAGAGAAGCAAUGAAGCUUACAAAAUUUGGAAGUUCUUCUGUUGCUAAUGAAAUAGAUGCGAAUUCAUAUGCCAGCAAGGUAACAAGAACUGAAAGAUCUGAAACCGUAUCCGCUGGAUCAUCAUCACCAACACAAUUGAGUCCUUCAGCCUUCAUACAAUCUGUUCCUUCUAGUGAGAAAAAAAGGAUGAGAGAUUGUGCACCUAUUGGCAACUUGCUUGAGCCAGUCAAUGCUGCCAGAGAAGUUGGGGAUGUUGAUUCAACAAGUGAUUCAAGCAACAAUUUUCUGAGAAGAGCACCAGAGAAGCCAAUUUCCUAUAUCACAAGUAUUUUGGUUCAAAUCACAGUGAAAUUUUUGACUUGUAUUUACCUAGUAUUUGUGGCACUGGGGAAAUGUUUUGUGGUUCGCUCUGUAGACAACCAAUCAGGAAGCAGUCAGUCAGCACAAUCCAUUUCCCGGGAACAAUUAAUUACUCCAGCAAUAAAAGAGCCACUUUGGCAGAGGUUGCAGAAUUUAGAGGCUGUAGUAACUGAGAUGGCCAAUAAACCUAGGACAAUUCCUCCUGAGAAAGAGGAUAUUCUUCAAGAGUCCUUGAGUCGGAUAAAGUCUAUAGAAUAUGACUUGCAGAAAACAAAGAAGGCACUGCUGGCAACUGCCUCAAAACAAGUUGAGCUUGCUGAGUCAUUGGAAAGCUUAAAGGAUAAUAGAUUUGAUGGGACGAACUCAUGUUGGCCUAAAAAUAGUAAAUGUUAUGCUCCAGGAAGAUGAGUAUUUGCAGAGGUUGCUAGUAGUCCAUUGUUUUUGAUACUCUACAGCAGAAUUACUACCAGAGAACUUCUAUUGGCUUAUAUAAAGGAAUUAGUCUCAAUUCUCAUAGGUUUGAGGAACGGGCUAUGGGGAGUAGAUAGGCCCAAUGUAUAGCAGGCAACAACAAAAAAUUUAUUUGAAUUGUGGACUCCCAAUUACUCCUUUUCAAUGUAUAACAGAGUGGUAACCACAUAUAUUUUCUUAUUGGCUUUUCUGUACAGAGGACACAGAUACAAAGCAUGUUACUCAAGUUCAGAUGUAUUUUAAUACCAAUUGCAUGUAUGCAUAAAAGGAAACAUUUUCUGUAAUAUAUUGUAACACAUGGCGAGGGCAUAACAUUAAAUUUUCGAUUUUACUAGAGGAUACGAUAUUCUAAACAAUUCCUAGUUUU